ACCACUUGGGGAUAACCUUGCGAAAGUAAGACUAAUACCCAAUGACGUCUCUAGAAGACAUCUGAAAGAGAUUAAAGAUUUAUCGGUGAUGGAUGGGGAUGCGUCUGAUUAGCUUGUUGGCGGGGUAACGGCCCACCAAGGCGACGAUCAGUAGGGGUUCUGAGAGGAAGGUCCCCCACAUUGGAACUGAGACACGGUCCAAACUCCUACGGGAGGCAGCAGUGAGGAAUAUUGGUCAAUGGGCGAGAGCCUGAACCAGCCAAGUAGCGUGCAGGAUGACGGCCCUAUGGGUUGUAAACUGCUUUUAUAAGGGAAUAAAGUGAGUCUCGUGAGACUUUUUGCUUGUACCUUAUGAAUAAGGACCGGCUAAUUCCGUGCCAGCAGCCGCGGUAAUACGGAAGGUCCGGGCGUUAUCCGGAUUUAUUGGGUUUAAAGGGAGCGUAGGCCGGAGAUUAAGCGUGUUGUGAAAUGUAGACGCUCAACGUCUGCACUGCAGCGCGAACUGGUUUCCUUGAGUACGCACAAAGUGGGCGGAAUUCGUGGUGUAGCGGUGAAAUGCUUAGAUAUCACGAAGAACUCCGAUUGCGAAGGCAGCUCACUGGAGCGCAACUGACGCUGAAGCUCGAAAGUGCGGGUAUCGAACAGGAUUAGAUACCCUGGUAGUCCGCACGGUAAACGAUGGAUGCCCGCUGUUGGUCUGAAUAGGUCAGCGGCCAAGCGAAAGCAUUAAGCAUCCCACCUGGGGAGUACGCC
rnacentral:rRNA from 1 species